rnacentral:misc_RNA from 1 species
AACGCACAUUGCGCCCUUUGGUAUUCCAGAGGGCAUGCCUGUUUGAGCGUCAUUUCUCUCUCAAAUCUUUGGAUUUGGUAUUGAGUGAUACUCUUAGUCAGACUAGGCGUUUGCUUGAAAAGUAUUGGCAAGAGUGGUACUGAGAAGUGCUAAACUGUUUCAAUGUAUUAGGUUUAUCCAACUCGUUGAAUCUGAUUAGUAGUGAUCUGUGCUUAGGCUCGGCCUUACAACAACAAACAAAGUUUGACCUCAAAUCAGGUAGGAUUACCCGCUGAACUUAA